UACGUAGGCGGAAAAUUAAGUCAGUGGUGAAAUCCUGCAGCUUAACUGUAGAACUGUCAUUGAUACUGGUUUUCUUGAAUACAGUUGAGGUAGGCGGAAUGUGUAAUGUAGCGGUGAAAUGCUUAGAUAUUACACAGACCACCGAUUGCGAAGGCAGCUUACUAAACUGUUAUUGACGCUGAGGUACGAAAGCGUGGGGAGCGAACAGGAUUAGAUACCCUGGUAGUCC
rnacentral:rRNA from 1 species